rnacentral:piRNA from 1 species
UCUGGAGUGAGUGAUUCUUAGGGGAGC